AUAAGAAAUAAACUGUUUAUGACUUUAUUGUUGAAUUUAUAAAAAGUAAAUACAUCAAUGAAUAUUAAUUUUAAAAGCACAAACAUCAAAACACGUAUAAUAUGCUAAUAUCUAUGAAUGUUAAUAGUUUCAUGACACUUAUUUAGCAGCUGUAAGUAUGAUAAUACAAAUAUUUGCAGGCUUUUUUUUUAAAGUCUCACUUUCUACUAAAUCUCUACAAUCCUAACCAACAACAUACAAGAAAAGGCCUUGCUAUAACAUGAUGAAAACAAUUAACUGAUAGUGGGUGUUUUAUUCACAUUAUAAUGAUUAAAAUAGAUCUCAACUUUCUGUUUAAAAGACAAAUAUUUCCAAAACGAUAUAAUGUUAGGAAUUGUAUAGAGGUAACAAAAGUAGCAA